rnacentral:rRNA from 1 species
UACGUAGGGGCCAAGCGUUGUCCGGAUUUAUUGGGCGUAAAGCGCGCGCAGGCGGUCCUUUAAGUCUGAUGUGAAAGCCCACGGCUCAACCGUGGAGGGUCAUUGGAAACUGGGGGACUUGAGUGCAGAAGAGGAGAGUGGAAUUCCACGUGUAGCGGUGAAAUGCGUAGAGAUGUGGAGGAACACCAGUGGCGAAGGCGACUCUCUGGUCUGUAACUGACGCUGAGGCGCGAAAGCGUGGGGAGCAAACAGG